AUGCCUCCCAUCCUUAGUGCCUCGCUGUUAAGGAUCCUGUGUGAACAAAUAGCUUGUGAUACCUGUCAUCUCCAGAGAGUAGUGAUCAAAAACAUUUCCCCAGCUGAUGCUUAUCAGAACCUCUGCCUAGCUCUUCAAGGUCACAAGACUGUAACACAUCUAAGACUUCGAGGCAGUGCCCAGAAUAAUACGCUUCCUGCACUGUGUGAGGUCCUGAGGCACCCAAAAUGUAACCUGCAGUAUCUUGGGUUGGUGUCUUGUUCUGCUACCACUCAGCAGUGGGCUGAUCUCUCCCUGGCCCUUGAAGUCAACCAGUCACUAAUAUACAUAAACCUCUCCAACAGUGAGCUCCUGGAUGAGGGUGCCAAGUUGCUGUACACAACUUUGAAACACCCAAAGUGCCUCCUGCAGAGGUUGUCGUUGGAAAACUGUCACCUUACGGAAGCCAUUUGCAAGGACCUGGCUGCCGUUUUGGUUGUCAGCCAGGAGCUGAUGCACCUGUGCUUGGCCAAGAACCCCCCUCAGUGAUACAGGGGUGAAGUUUCUGUGUGAGGGCUUGAGUUACCCUGAGUGUAAACUACAGACCCUGGUGCUGUGGAACUGUGACAUAACCAGCAAAGGCUGCUGUCACCUCGCAAAGCUUCUCCACGAAAAAUCAAGCCUAAUGAACUUGGAUCUCGGGCAGAAUGACAUAAGAGUUCCUGGAGUGCAAUGCCUAUGUGAGGCUUUGAAGAAACCACUGCGUAACUUGAAACGUCUGUGGUUGUGGGGAUGUUCCAUCCCUCCAGCCAGUUGUGAGAACUUCUGCUGUGUCCUCAGCUGCAACCAGACCCUCAUCACUCUGGACCUGGGCCAGAAUCCCUUAGGGUAUAGUGGAGUAAAAUUGCUGUUUGAAACCUUGACACGUGCAAAUGGCACCCUCCAGACACUCAGGUUGAAAAUAGAUGACUUCACUGAUGAACUCGAUAAGCUGCUGAAAGAAGUAGAAGGCAGCAACCCACAACUGACUAUUGACGCUGAGAAUCAAGAGCGCUGGAAAAAAAGGUCUUCUUCUGGCUAA